CGGCAGGCCUAACACAUGCAAGUCGAGCGGUAGCACAGAGAGCUUGCUCUCGGGUGACGGGCGGCGGACGGGUGAGUAAUGUCUGGGAAACUGCCUGAUGGAGGGGGAUAACUACUGGAAACGGUAGCUAAUACCGCAUAAUGUCGCAAGACCAAAGUGGGGGACCUUCGGGCCUCAUGCCAUCAGAUGUGCCCAGAUGGGAUUAGCUAGUAGGUGGGGUAACGGCUCACCUAGGCGACGAUCCCUAGCUGGUCUGAGAGGAUGACCAGCCACACUGGAACUGAGACACGGUCCAGACUCCUACGGGAGGCAGCAGUGGGGAAUAUUGCACAAUGGGCGCAAGCCUGAUGCAGCCAUGCCGCGUGUGUGAAGAAGGCCUUCGGGUUGUAAAGCACUUUCAGCGGGGAGGAAGGCGGUGAGGUUAAUAACCUCACCGAUUGACGUUACCCGCAGAAGAAGCACCGGCUAACUCCGUGCCAGCAGCCGCGGUAAUACGGAGGGUGCAAGCGUUAAUCGGAAUUACUGGGCGUAAAGCGCACGCAGGCGGUCUGUCAAGUCGGAUGUGAAAUCCCCGGGCUCAACCUGGGAACUGCAUUCGAAACUGGCAGGCUAGAGUCUUGUAGAGGGGGGUAGAAUUCCAGGUGUAGCGGUGAAAUGCGUAGAGAUCUGGAGGGAUACCGGUGGCGAAGGCGGCCCCCUGGACAAAGACUGACGCUCAGGUGCGAAAGCGUGGGGAGCAAACAGGAUUAGAUACCCUGGUAGUCCACGCCGUAAACGAUGUCGAUUUGGAGGUUGUGCCCUUGAGGCGUGGCUUCCGGAGCUAACGCGUUAAAUCGACCGCCUGGGGAGUACGGCCGCAAGGUUAAAACUCAAAUGAAUUGACGGGGGCCCGCACAAGCGGUGGAGCAUGUGGUUUAAUUCGAUGCAACGCGAAGAACCUUACCUGGUCUUGACAUCCACAGAACUUUCCAGAGAUGGAUUGGUGCCUUCGGGAACUGUGAGACAGGUGCUGCAUGGCUGUCGUCAGCUCGUGUUGUGAAAUGUUGGGUUAAGUCCCGCAACGAGCGCAACCCUUAUCCUUUGUUGCCAGCGGUCCGGCCGGGAACUCAAAGGAGACUGCCAGUGAUAAACUGGAGGAAGGUGGGGAUGACGUCAAGUCAUCAUGGCCCUUACGACCAGGGCUACACACGUGCUACAAUGGCAUAUACAAAGAGAAGCGAACUCGCGAGAGCAAGCGGACCUCAUAAAGUAUGUCGUAGUCCGGAUUGGAGUCUGCAACUCGACUCCAUGAAGUCGGAAUCGCUAGUAAUCGUAGAUCAGAAUGCUACGGUGAAUACGUUCCCGGGCCUUGUACACACCGCCCGUCACACCAUGGGAGUGGGUUGCAAAAGAAGUAGGUAGCUUAACCUUCGGGAGGGCGCUUACCACUUUGUGAUUCAUGACUGGGGUGAAGUCGUA
rnacentral:rRNA from 1 species